GCAACCCUUCGGCCCAGCCUUUUGGCCGCCGGUGCUGAGCUCGGUCCUCACCCGACUUCGGUCGGGGGACCGGCUUUAAAGUUGCGCGCUCUGCGGGCCCGACGACCCAGCUAAACAUAGUAGAAUCUCUUGAAUUGUUGAACUGGUUGACGGCGCUUCCGCCUGAAAAAACUCACCUUUUGAA
rnacentral:misc_RNA from 1 species